UAGAGUACAGGAGAGGAAAGCGGAAUNNNNNNNGUAGCGGUGAAAUGCGUAGAUAUUAGGAAGAACACCAGUGGCGAAGGCGGCUUUCUGGACUGAAACUGACGCUGAGGCUCGAAAGCGUGGGGAGCAAACAGGAUUAGAUACCCUGGUAGUCCACGCCGUAAACGAUGAGUGCUAGGUGUCGGGGAGGAAUCCUCGGUGCCGCAGCUAACGCAAUAAGCACUCCACCUGGGGAGUACGACCGCAAGGUUGAAACUCAAAGGAAUUGACGGGGGCCCGCACAAGCGGUGGAGCAUGUGGUUUAAUUCGAAGCAACGCGAAGAACCUUACCAAGGCUUGACAUCCCGAUGACCGCUCUAGAGAUAGAGCUUCUCUUCGGAGCAUCGGUGACAGGUGGUGCAUGGUUGUCGUCAGCUCGUGUCGUGAGAUGUUGGGUUAAGUCCCGCAACGAGCGCAACCCUUAUCUUCAGUAGCCAUCAUUCAGUUGGGCACUCUGGAGAGACUGCCGUGGAUAACACGGAGGAAGGUGGGGAUGACGUCAAAUCAUCAUGCCCCUUAUGUCUUGGGCUACACACGUGCUACAAUGGCUGGUAACAAAGUGACGCGAAACGGCGACGUUAAGCAAAUCACAAAAACCCAGUCCCAGUUCGGAUUGUAGUCUGCAACUCGACUACAUGAAGCUGGAAUCGCUAGCAAUCGCGGAUCAGCAUGUCGCGGUGAAUACGUUCCCGGGCCUUGUACACACCGCCCGUCACACCAUGGGAGUUGGAAGCACCCGAAGUCGGUGACCUAACCGUAAGGAAGGAGCCGCCGAAGGUGAAGCCAGUGACUGGGGUGAAGUCGUAACAAGGUAACCA
rnacentral:rRNA from 1 species